rnacentral:rRNA from 1 species
UACGUAGGGGGCGAGCGUUGUCCGGAAUCAUUGGGCGUAAAGCGCGUGUAGGCGGCUCGGUAAGUCCGGUGUGAAACCUUGGGGGCUCAACCCCAAGCCUGCACUGGAUACUGUCGAGCUUGAGUCCGGGAGGGGAGAGCGGAAUUCCUAGUGUAGCGGUGAAAUGCGCAGAUAUUAGGAAGAACACCGGUGGCGAAGGCGGUCUCU